CCCUUAGAUGUUCUGGGCUGCACGCGCGCUACACUGAUGCGUUCAUCGAGUUUACGCCCUGGCCCGGCAGGGUUGGGUAAUCUUUUGAAAACGCAUCGUGAUGGGGAUAGAUUAUUGCAAUUAUUAAUCUUCAACGAGGAAUUCCUAGUAAGCGCAAGUCAACAGCUUGCGUUGAUUACGUCCCUGCCCUUUGUACACACCGCCCGUCGCUACUACUGAUUGGAUGUUUAAGCGAGGUUCUCGAACUGCUAGCGACUUAGCUUCGGUGAGGUCGCAGUGUGGGAAGUGAACCUAGCUUUGGUGUCUAGAGGAAGUAAAAGUCGUAACA
rnacentral:rRNA from 1 species